rnacentral:rRNA from 1 species
GAUUAAGUUAUUAAGGGCGCACGGUGGAUGCCUUGGCACUAGAAGCCGAUGAAGGACGUUACUAACGACGAUAUGCUUUGGGGAGCUGUAAGUAAGCUUUGAUCCAGAGAUUUCCGAAUGGGGAAACCCAGCAUGAGUUAUGUCAUGUUAUCGAUAUGUGAAUACAUAGCAUAUCAGAAGGCACACCCGGAGAACUGAAACAUCUUAGUACCCGGAGGAAGAGAAAGAAAAUUCGAUUCCCUUAGUAGCGGCGAGCGAAACGGGAAGAGCCCAAACCAACAAGCUUGCUUGUUGGGGUUGUAGGACACUCUAUACGGAGUUACAAAGGACGACAUUAGACGAAUCAUCUGGAAAGAUGAAUCAAAGAAGGUAAUAAUCCUGUAGUCGAAAAUGUUGUCUCUCUUGAGUGGAUCCUGAGUACGACGGAGCACGUGAAAUUCCGUCGGAAUCUGGGAGGACCAUCUCCUAAGGCUAAAUACUCUCUAGUGACCGAUAGUGAACCAGUACCGUGAGGGAAAGGUGAAAAGCACCCCGGAAGGGGAGUGAAAUAGAACCUGAAACCGUGUGCUUACAAGUAGUCAGAGCCCGUUAAUGGGUGAUGGCGUGCCUUUUGUAGAAUGAACCGGCGAGUUACGAUUUGAUGCAAGGUUAAGCAGUAAAUGUGGAGCCGUAGCGAAAGCGAGUCUGAAUAGGGCGUUUAGUAUUUGGUCGUAGACCCGAAACCAGGUGAUCUACCCUUGGUCAGGUUGAAGUUCAGGUAACACUGAAUGGAGGACCGAACCGACUUACGUUGAAAAGUGAGCGGAUGAACUGAGGGUAGCGGAGAAAUUCCAAUCGAACCUGGAGAUAGCUGGUUCUCUCCGAAAUAGCUUUAGGGCUAGCCUCAAGUGAUGAUUAUUGGAGGUAGAGCACUGUUUGGACGAGGGGCCCCUCUCGGGUUACCGAAUUCAGACAAACUCCGAAUGCCAAUUAAUUUAACUUGGGAGUCAGAACAUGGGUGAUAAGGUCCGUGUUCGAAAGGGAAACAGCCCAGACCACCAGCUAAGGUCCCAAAAUAUAUGUUAAGUGGAAAGGAUGUGGCGUUGCCCAGACAACUAGGAUGUUGGCUUAGAAGCAGCCAUCAUUUAAAGAGUGCGUAAUAGCUCACUAGUCGAGUGACACUGCGCCGAAAAUGUACCGGGGCUAAACAUAUUACCGAAGCUGUGGAUUGUCCUUUGGACAAUGGUAGGAGAGCGUUCUAAGGGCGUUGAAGCAUGAUCGUAAGGACAUGUGGAGCGCUUAGAAGUGAGAAUGCCGGUGUGAGUAGCGAAAGACGGGUGAGAAUCCCGUCCACCGAUUGACUAAGGUUUCCAGAGGAAGGCUCGUCCGCUCUGGGUUAGUCGGGUCCUAAGCUGAGGCCGACAGGCGUAGGCGAUGGAUAACAGGUUGAUAUUCCUGUACCACCUAUAAUCGUUUUAAUCGAUGGGGGGACGCAGUAGGAUAGGCGAAGCGUGCGAUUGGAUUGCACGUCUAAGCAGUAAGGCUGAGUAUUAGGCAAAUCCGGUACUCGUUAAGGCUGAGCUGUGAUGGGGAGAAGACAUUGUGUCUUCGAGUCGUUGAUUUCACACUGCCGAGAAAAGCCUCUAGAUAGAAAAUAGGUGCCCGUACCGCAAACCGACACAGGUAGUCAAGAUGAGAAUUCUAAGGUGAGCGAGCGAACUCUCGUUAAGGAACUCGGCAAAAUGACCCCGUAACUUCGGGAGAAGGGGUGCUCUUUAGGGUUAACGCCCAGAAGAGCCGCAGUGAAUAGGCCCAAGCGACUGUUUAUCAAAAACACAGGUCUCUGCUAAACCGUAAGGUGAUGUAUAGGGGCUGACGCCUGCCCGGUGCUGGAAGGUUAAGAGGAGUGGUUAGCUUCUGCGAAGCUACGAAUCGAAGCCCCAGUAAACGGCGGCCGUAACUAUAACGGUCCUAAGGUAGCGAAAUUCCUUGUCGGGUAAGUUCCGACCCGCACGAAAGGCGUAACGAUUUGGGCACUGUCUCAACGAGAGACUCGGUGAAAUCAUAGUACCUGUGAAGAUGCAGGUUACCCGCGACAGGACGGAAAGACCCCGUGGAGCUUUACUGUAGCCUGAUAUUGAAAUUCGGCACAGCUUGUACAGGAUAGGUAGGAGCCUUUGAAACGUGAGCGCUAGCUUACGUGGAGGCGCUGGUGGGAUACUACCCUAGCUGUGUUGGCUUUCUAACCCGCACCACUUAUCGUGGUGGGAGACAGUGUCAGGCGGGCAGUUUGACUGGGGCGGUCGCCUCCUAAAAGGUAACGGAGGCGCUCAAAGGUUCCCCAGAAUGGUUGGAAAUCAUUCAUAGAGUGUAAAGGCAUAAGGGAGCUUGACUGCGAGACCUACAAGUCGAGCAGGGUCGAAAGACGGACUUAGUGAUCCGGUGGUUCCGCAUGGAAGGGCCAUCGCUCAACGGAUAAAAGCUACCCCGGGGAUAACAGGCUUAUCUCCCCCAAGAGUUCACAUCGACGGGGAGGUUUGGCACCUCGAUGUCGGCUCAUCGCAUCCUGGGGCUGUAGUCGGUCCCAAGGGUUGGGCUGUUCGCCCAUUAAAGCGGUACGCGAGCUGGGUUCAGAACGUCGUGAGACAGUUCGGUCCCUAUCCGUCGUGGGCGUAGGAAAUUUGAGAGGAGCUGUCCUUAGUACGAGAGGACCGGGAUGGACAUACCUCUGGUGUACCAGUUGUCGUGCCAACGGCAUAGCUGGGUAGCUAUGUGUGGACGGGAUAAGUGCUGAAAGCAUCUAAGCAUGAAGCCCCCCUCAAGAUGAGAUUUCCCAACUUCGGUUAUAAGAUCCCUCAAAGAUGAUGAGGUUAAUAGGUUCGAGGUGGAAGCAUGGUGACAUGUGGAGCUGACGAAUACUAAUCGAUCGAAGACUUAAUCAA